rnacentral:tRNA from 1 species
AAUAGCUCAAGUGGUUGAGCACCUGCCUAAGAAGUAUGAGGCCUUGAGUUCAAACCUCAGUU